GUCGACAGCCAUACCACCGUCAACGUGCCCGAUCUCGUCUGAUCUAGGAAGCUAAGCAGGGUCGGGCCUGGUUACUUGGAUGGGGGAUCAGCUGGGAAUACCGGGUGCUAUAGGCU
rnacentral:rRNA from 1 species